ensembl:lncRNA
UAAUGCAUGCAUUGCACAUGUUUAAUGUAUAAAUUUUCCAUUAAUUUAAGGCAUGCAUAUGUGUGCAUCUCUCUUUUGACAGAUGUGACCUCAUGUGCCUUGAGGAACGGUGGAUGUGAUCACACCUGCUCGUUGGGUGCUGAGGGUCACAUCCAUUGCAGCUGCAGAGCAGGAUGGGAGCUCAGUGCAGACCAAAGAACCUGCAUUGAUGUGGACGAGUGUGUGAGUUUUAACGGCGGCUGUGAGCAGGUGUGUGUGAAUCACGCUGGCGGUUUUAAUUGCAGCUGUCGCUCAGGCUUUGAGUUGCGUAAAGACGACCCGACUAAAUGCCAUCCGCUGUGUGAACCUGCCUGUCUGAACUCUGGAGUGUGUGUCGCUCCGAACACCUGCGACUGUCCGGCAGGAUAUCCUGGACCAGGAUGCUCGGGUAAUGUGUCGUAUGAUUGAGUUUAAUGCAGAAAGACUUUUUAACACAUUUGACAGACAGUUUUAUCACAAAUAGCAGGGCAUUCAUUUUUAAAAAUACUCUGUACAUACAAUGUAAAAUGGCUUACAGUUAUAAUAAUGAUGUAUAACAUGGUGGAAUAAUGAAUUAUUCCCCACUGAACAUAAAAUAAUCUGUUUUCUUGGAUUGAACUAUUUUUUAUGAUGUGUUUUAGUAUUGAGUUUUUAUAAUAAUAUUUGAAAAAUGUGUGAAACAUUCUGGAAUUGCCUUCCCUUUAAAGAAGUCUCUUCUGCUCAUCAAGGCUGCAUUUAUUUGAUCAAAAAUACAGAAAAAAAAACUAAUCUUGCAAAAUGUUAUUAGAAUAUAAAAUAAUGGUUUCUAUUAAAAUAUCCUUUAAAAUAUGAUUUAUAUCUGUGAUGCAAAGCUGAAUUUCCAGCAUCAUGACUCCAGUAUAAAAGUGUCACAUGAUCCUUCAGAAAUCAUUCCAAUAUGCUGAUUUAUUAUUAGAAUUAUCAAUGUUGGCAACAGUUAUACUGCCAAAUAUUUUUUUGGAAACUGCAAUACUUUUUUCAGGAUUCUUUGAUGAAUAAAAAGUUCAAAAGAACAGCA